rnacentral:rRNA from 1 species
GAUGAACGCUGGCGGCGUGCCUAAUACAUGCAAGUCGAGCGAACAGACGAGGAGCUUGCUCCUCUGACGUUAGCGGCGGACGGGUGAGUAACACGUGUAUAACCUACCUAUAAGACUGGGAUAACUUCGGGAAACCGGAGCUAAUACCGGAUAAUAUAUUGAACCGCAUGGUUCAAUAGUGAAAGACGGUUUUGCUGGCACGUAUAGAUGGAUCCGCGCCGCAUUAGCUAGUUGGUAAGGUAACGGCUUACCAAGGCAACGAUGCGUAGCCGACCUGAGAGGGUGAUCGGCCACACUGGAACUGAGCCACGGUCAAGACUCCUACGGGAGGCAGCAGAAGGGAAUCUUACGCAAUGGGCGAAAGCAUGACGGAGCAACGCCGAGUGAGUGAUGAAGGUCUUCGGAUCGUAAAACCCUGUUAUUAGGGAAGAACAAAUGUGUAAGUAACUAUGCACGUAUUGACGGUACCUAAUAAGAAAGCAACGGCUAACUACGUG